rnacentral:tRNA from 1 species
GCCCUCGUGUUGAAAUGGAUAUCAUGCAAAGCUUCGAACUUUGCGUCCUAGGUUCGAAUCCUGGCGAGGGCACCC